rnacentral:lncRNA from 1 species
AAAUCCUCAAAACGUCAAGGAAAGUUUGUGAACACGCCGCUAUAAAGAAAAUACACAUUUUCUCACAGCGAUAUUUCCCAGAUGCACCGAAAACAACGACGACACAGACCGUCGAUUCGAUAGCGGUCAAACGACCAGCUACAGCGAUACACACCAACACCGGUGAGUAAUUACGACAAUGUUUUGAAUAACGCUUUACGGCCAUGUGAGUCUUAAAGGUACCCGGUCACUUUCUCCACAUCGUCACACGGUUGUGUCUAUUCGCAGACUCUGGUGAGGGGACGAGUCGGCACACGUUUAAAAAAAAUUCCCGUUUGUGCUUUUUGAUACCCUCUCAAAAUCUUGUGGAGACUCAGGCAGAUGCCCCCGUUAAAGCACGGGGCGUGGAGCAUAUUACCAGAUCGUCUGUGAGAAAAGAACCCGAACCGGCAAAAAAUAAAGUACCAUUUCGACGGCCAGCGAUCUCAGAGACGUCAAGCGAAACAGCGAACUCAAAACGUCACAAAUCAACAACCAAAGAAGCUGUAUCGACGAGCGGGGGAAAAAAUGUGGAAGAAACGCCAGGACCUAAGGUGCUGACCAAAUCCAAACGUGUCAAGCCUUUCGAGAGAAAUAAUAACGCAAUUAGAGACUUGGCGUUUGGUGAUGCGCUAGAUUCAGUGCAGUAUAUUGCACGGUUACUAUCAACAGUGAGCACUAAUGAGGUGGAUAAAAAGCGAGAUUUAGAGCAUCUAAGAGCGGCUUUAGAAAGUGUACAUUAUUUGUUUCCAAAACCGAUCCAGGCUUUCGCAGCUAACCUCUUAAGACAUAAUUUCUACAGAGGAUGCUGCUCUAAACUCAGGAUUUCAAAACCUGAUAAUGCUAUUUCAUGGUUCAUUGGAAGAUCCCCAGUGAUACAUGACUCUAAGCAUGCGGUCUAAAAACUGGAAUAAAAGACCGACCUCUUACUAACAUCAAGCGUUUGUAUGUUAAUAAAAUAAUUAAACUGGCAAA